GUAGGGUGCGAGCGUUAAUCGGAAUUACUGGGCGUAAAGUGUGCGCAGGCGGCUCCGCAAGUCGAGUGUGAAAUCCCCGAGCUUAACUUGGGAAUUGCGCUCGAAACUACGGAACUGGAGUGUGGCAGAGGAAGGUGGAAUUCCACGUGUAGCGGUGAAAUGCGUAGAGAUGUGGAGGAACACUGAUGGCGAAGGCAGCCUUCUGGGCCAACACUGACGCUCAUGCACGAAAGCGUGGGGAGCAAACAGGAUUAGAUACCCUGGUAGUCCACGCCCUAAACGAUGAUGACUAGUUGUUGGAGGAGUUAAAUCCUUUAGUAACGCAGCUAACGCGUGAAGUCAUCCGCCUGGGGAGUACGGUCGCAAGAUUA
rnacentral:rRNA from 1 species